GUCAUGUUUGAAGCUAAAAUUCUGCCUCAUAAAUGAGCCUAAGGAGGGUUUACACCAGUUUGGUAGAAGUGUUGGUGGAGUACUGCAGUAACUACAGCUGAGGGGGAUAAUCACUGUACAGCUGGAGGGGAUGGUAGCCUGGUGUGCACCUGAGGGAGAGUUAUUCAUGCAAGAACAAAGAGAAUUUGAACCCAUUCUUGUCUUACUCAUGGUAGGGAGAUUAUGAAUAUUCGAGCUCAACAUUCAGAGCCACAAUAAAAAUUAAUUCAACAAUAAUUACAGCAACCACAGAAGGAAUUCAAACCACAGGAAUGGUGUAUUUCCAAUACCCCCAAAGACUGCACUCUAAGCCACAGCUUCUUUUUCUUUAGGAAAACGAGGAAUUGGAUUGCAGCUGGCUUGGCAGAACCUUAGAUGUUUUCAACAGCCAUAAACAUACCCACUACUGCUCUCCUACAGAAAUGAGUACUUCAUUCUGCUCCUUCUGCCAUUAAAGGAGCACUUGAAUACAAUUUUCUGUCACAAUCACACUGCUCAGUCAAGCUAGUGCUUGUAAAAUGUCAGUGUUUGCAAUAACUCUCAUUUUGCUAAUUAAUCUUACCCUGCACCUUACACUGAAAGGACAUGUUCAUUGAAAAAGAAGCAAGCAGAGAGGAAACCUGGGAAAACAAAGAAAGAGAAAUUAUGUUUGGUGCAUAUUAUGCCACAGAAGACACAAAACAGACAGAGUGUCAAAGUGAGACAUUGGCUCCAUCACCAGGUGGUUGGGACAACUUCCUUAGAACUGGG